rnacentral:rRNA from 1 species
CGACUUGGAGGUUGUUCCCUUGAGGAGUGGCUUCCGGAGCUAACGCGUUAAGUCGACCGCCUGGGGAGUACGGCCGCAAGGUUAAAACUCAAAUGAAUUGACGGGGGCCCGCACAAGCGGUGGAGCAUGUGGUUUAAUUCGAUGCAACGCGAAGAACCUUACCUACUCUUGACAUCCAGCGAACUUGGCAGAGAUGCCUUGGUGCCUUCGGGAACGCUGAGACAGGUGCUGCGUGGCUGUCGUCAGCUCGUGUUGUGAAAUGUUGGGUUAAGUCCCGCAACGAGCGCAACCCUUAUCCUUUGUUGCCAGCGAGUCAUGUCGGGAACUCAAAGGAGACUGCCGGUGAUAAACCGGAGGAAGGUGGGGAUGACGUCAAGUCAUCAUGGCCCUUACGAGUAGGGCUACACACGUGCUACAAUGGCGCAUACAAAGAGAAGCGACCUCGCGAGAGCAAGCGGACCUCACAAAGUGCGUCGUAGUCCGGAUCGGAGUCUGCAACUCGACUCCGUGAAGUCGGAAUCGCUAGUAAUCGUGGAUCAGAAUGCCACGGUGAAUACGUUCCCGGGCCUUGUACACACCGCCCGUCACACCAUGGGAGUGGGUUGCAAAAGAAGUAGGUAGCUUAACCUUCGGGAGGGCGCUUACCACUUUGUGAUUCAUGACUGGGGUGAAGUCGUAACAAGGUAGC